GAUGAACGCUGGCGGCGUGCCUAAUACAUGCAAGUCGAGCGAACAGACGAGGAGCUUGCUCCUCGGACGUUAGCGGCGGACGGGAGAGUAACACGUGGAUAACCUACCUAUAAGACUGGGAUAACUUCGGGAAACCGGAGCUAAUACCGUAUAAGAUAUUGAACCGCAGGGUUCAAUGGUAAAAGUCGGUUUUUCUGUCACUUAUAGAUGGAUCCGCGCCGCAUUAGCUAGUUGGUAAGGUAACGGCUUACCAAGGCAACGAUGCGUAGCCGAACGGAGAGGGUGGUCGGCCACACGAGAGCGGAGACGCGGUCAAGACUACUGCGGGACGCAGCAGUAGGGUAUGUUACGCAGUGGGCGAAAGCAUGACGGAGCAACGCCGCGCGAGUGAUGAAGGUCUUCGGAUCGUAAAACUCUGUUAUUAGGGAAGAACAAAUGUGUAAGUAAAUAUGCACGUAUUGACGGUACCUGGUCAGAAAGCAACGGCUAACUACGUG
rnacentral:rRNA from 1 species